CCUACGGGAGGCAGCAGUGGGGAAUUUUCCGCAAUGGGCGAAAGCCUGACGGAGCAAUACCGCGUGAGGGAGGAAGGCUCUUGGGUUGUAAACCUCUUUUCUCAGGGAAGAUAAUGACGGUACCUGAGGAAUAAGCAUCGGCUAACUCCGUGCCAGCAGCCGCGGUAAUACGGAGGAUGCAAGCGUUAUCCGGAAUGAUUGGGCGUAAAGCGUCCGCAGGUGGUUUUGAAAGUCUGCUGUUAAAGCGUGCGGCUUAACCGCAUAAGGGCAGUGGAAACUAUGAGACUAGAGUGCGUUAGGGGCAGAGGGAAUUCCCAGUGUAGCGGUGAAAUGCGUAGAGAUUGGGAAGAACACCGGUGGCGAAGGCGCUCUGCUAUACCGUAACUGACACUGAGGGACGAAAGCUAGGGGAGCGAAUGGGAUUAGAUACCCCAGUAGUCCUAGCCGUAAACGAUGGAUACUAGGCGUUGUCUGUAUCGACCCGGACAGUGCCGUAGCUAACGCGUUAAGUAUCCCGCCUGGGGAGUACGCAGGCAACUGUGAAACUCAAAGGAAUUGACGG
rnacentral:rRNA from 1 species